GAUGAACGCUGGCGGCAGGCUUAACACAUGCAAGUCGAACGGAAACGCCCUGCUAUUGUGGCGUUCUCGGGGGGCGGACGGGUGCGUGAGAGGUGAACACCUUGCCCUUCUCUUUGGGACAAGUUAAUGAAACUGGGGCUAAAACAGUAAUGCAGAACCAGCUCCAUGGAAGGCAUUGGAAAGUGUCGGCUGUUGGGGAUGGACUCGGGGCUGAUGCGUUUGAUGGUGGGGUAGUGGAUUACGAAGGCUUUGAAGGGUAGCCGGCCUGAGAGGGGGACCGGGAACAUUGGGACUGUGAUACGGCACAGACUCGUAAGGGAGGCAGCAGUGGGGAAGAUUGCACAAUGGGCGGAAGCCUGAUGCAGCAACGCGGCGUUCGGGAUGACGGCCUGCUGGUAGAAAACAGCAUUGGGCUGUGACGAAGCGUUUGUGACGGUAAUGUAUGAAGAAGCACCGGCUAACUACGUG
rnacentral:rRNA from 1 species